UACAGAGGGUGCGAGCGUUGUCCGGAAUCACUGGGCGUAAAGGGCGCGUAGGUGGCGGCCCAAGUCCGUGGUGAAAGCUCGCCGCUUAACGGCGAGUCGGCCACGGAGACUGGGUGGCUCGAGCACUGUAGGGGCAGAUGGAAUUCCGGGUGUAGCGGUGGAAUGCGUAGAGAUCCGGAAGAACACCAGUGGCGAAGGCGGUCUGCUGGGCAGUUGCUGACACUGAUGCGCGACAGCGUGGGGAGCGAACAGG
rnacentral:rRNA from 1 species